CAGGUGUAGUUUAAUGGUAAAACAUCAGCUUCCCAAGCUGAGGUCGGGGGUUCGAUUCCCCUCACCC
rnacentral:tRNA from 1 species